GAGAGUCUCGAGAUGAAGGGGACCACUCCCCCCGCCCUGUGCCUAGUUUAAGUUCUUCUGUCACUGAGAGUCUGAACUCUUCAUUCACUCACACUGAAAACUGCAUCAGGAUGAUGUUUCUAACAACUCUGAUUGUCAUGUUUGGGUUUCUGAUUCAGGAGUCAUUUGCCAACAAUUUUCUGACUCAGACUGAUAAAACCAAGUCUGUCAGUCUUGGAGGGACUGUGACCAUCAGCGCCACGGGGAGUUCAAAUAUUGGUGCUGAUCUCAGUUGGUACCUUCAGAAACCUGGACAACCUCCCAAACUUCUUAUAUACAGCACAUCAACUCGCUUCUCAGGAACUCCGUCUCGAUUCAGUGGCAGUAGAUCUGGUUCUCAGUACACUUUAACCAUCAGUAGUGUUCAGGCUGAAGAUGCUGGAGAUUAUUACUGUCUGGGAGCCCAUGGUGGAGCGUUCACACAGUGAUUUAUAGCUGUACAAAAACCUCCUUCAGUCUGGCUGAAGGCUGCAGGUGCAGAGUGUUGGAGGAGAGACUGUGAUGAGAGUCAUCAAGCACAAACACAAUGAAUCUAAAUAAAACAAGAAACUAAUAGCUUUACACAAACAGAUUUAACUUAAAUAAAUACCAUUGAAUGUUAUUUUAUUCAGUCCAG